rnacentral:tRNA from 1 species
CAGGGAGACAACAAAAUGUUUAAUAUUAUUAUUUUGUCACCUUAGGUCGAUCGGUAUCUCACGUUUUUAAUUUAUUAAAAAUUUCAUUUCCUAAGUUUUUCUAGGUCACACCCAUUAUUUUCCUGGGCCAUUAGCUCAGGUGGUUAGAGCGCACCCCUGAUAAGGGUGAGGUCCCUGGUUCAAGUCCAGGAUGGCCCAUAUCUCUAUGUUGGGGGUAUAGCUCAGUUGGUAGAGCGCCUGCUUUGCAAGCAGGAUGUCAGCGGUUCGAGUCCGCUUACCUCCACUGAUCACCACCUCUUCCAUAAUCGGUAGAAAGGAAAUUUUUUGAGUUGUGAUCAAGUUCUGAAAGAAUCUAGCUUCCUAAUGAAAUCAUUAAGAUGCUGGACUCAUUGAAUUAAUUUCAUUGUUUUCAGAGAACCUUGACAACUGCAUAGAUUAUUUUUAAAGACAAUAAGCAUCUUUAAUGAUGCAGAUUUAUUAUUUGUGCGAAUGCAUUAAUAACAAUUCUAUUAAGCUGAUGCUUCAAUUUUGAAGUUAUU